rnacentral:sRNA from 1 species
CCUGCUGCGGGCAUACCAGGUGCACAUGAGCAUCAAUGCCGCCGGCAGUGAGAAUGAGAUGCUCGCCGGAAAUGGCGUCCGUGGAGUUGCCGACGACAAGAUGAGGAUCGACAUUGUCCAUGACGGCAGGAUUGCCCGCCUUGCCGAUACCCACGAUGUGGCCGUCACGGAUGCCCACGUCGGCCUUGAUCACGCCCUGUACGGCAUCGAUGAUGGUGGCGUUGGUGAUGACGAGGUCAAGGAC